UCGUGUUUUCGCCGGGGCACUCCAAAAGA
rnacentral:sRNA from 1 species